UGGAGUGCACCCGGAUCAAGCCUUGCCUGAAGCCAUUCCUUCUUUGAACAUUUCACUAUGUGAACCAAAUAAUUUUUUCUUCGGCUAAUCCUUUUUCUUAAACCCUUUAUAAAUAAAAGGCUCCUUCUCAGUAGAACACCCUUCCUUUGUGUCUCCACUCUCCUCUGUUGGCUCUUUGGCCAUAGUACUCAUUUGUUUACAUGGCAGCAAAUUCAUCCUGUUUUCACUGCUAUUUGUUUAAAACCUUUUAAUAAAUUUCCAUGGCUUUUAGGAAAAAGACCUGUAUUAGUUAUCCAUUGCUUCAUAACACAUUACUUUUAAACUUAACGACUUUACAUAACAAAUAUUUGGCUGACUAUUGGUGUUAAAGAAAAAAUUAUUCAAAGAUACUUGUUUUUAUGUUUAUUUAUUUAUUUUUCUUGAGAGUCUCGCUCUGUCGCCCAAGCUGGAGUACAGUGGCGUGAUCUCGGCUCACUGCAACCUCCGCCUCCUGGGUUCAAGCGAUUCUCCAGCCUCAGCCUCCCAAGUAGCUGGGAUUACAGGCACCUGUCACCAUGCCCAGCUAAUUUUUGUAUUUUUAGUAGAGACGGGGUUUCACCAUAUUGGCCAGGAUGGUCUCAAACUCCUGACCUCAAAUGAUCCACCCACCUCAGCCUCCCAAACUGCUGGGAUUACAGGCGUGAGCCACCACGCCCGGCUCAACGAUACUUAUUAAAGCACAGUAAAGAAAACUUUAUUCAGGACCAUUGAGAUAGUCACAGGGACCACUGCAAUGGGAUCUUGCAGAGGGGGAGAGAGAUUGGGCUCCAUUCUGAAUACAGCAUGGGCGAGUGGGAAUUCUGAGCCAAGGAACAGAGUGGGGAGCAGUGAAUGGAAAAUGACUAAGAGGAAACGUUGGGGUAAAGGGGUUCUGUCCAAACUGACCCAACAGGAUUCUUGCUGAAGACAGGCCCAUCAGCCAUCACCUGGGGGAUGGUGGAGGAGGAGGAACCUGAUCAGAUAUCGAAGAUGGGCGGCAGUUCUUGCUAAACUAGACUUAGCAGGUUCUUUGCUAAAACUAGAUUUUACAAGGAAGUGCACAGAUGGACCUAGGAGAAGGCUCAGAAGCCUGACUAAAAUUUGGCCAACCAAAGAAUCUUUGUCAUUGGUAGAAGACCUACAUUUCUCUCAACAACAGCCUCUUGAUAGGGCUGCUUGAGUGUUCCCACAACACGUUAGCUGGUUUCCCUCAGAGCUGGUGAUCCAAGAGAGAAAUAUUGAAGCUGCAAUGUAAUGUAUAACUUACUCUCAGACAUCAGAUUCUUGUCACUUCUGUCUUAUUCUAUUAGUUAAAAGUGAGUCACAGCCAGGCACAGUGGCUCACGCCUAUAAUCCCAGCACUUCAGGAGGCUGAGCGAGGAGGAUUCCUUGAGCCUAGGAGUUUGAGACCAGCCUGGGCAACGGAGUGAGACCCUAAUAAAAAAUAUUAGCCAGACGGGCGUGGUGGCUCACGCCUGUAAUCCCAGCACUUUGGGAGGCUGAGGCAGGUCAAUCGCCUGAGGUUGGGAGUUCGAGAUCAGCCUGGUCAACCUGGUGAAACCCUGUAUCUAUUAAAAGUACAAAAAUUAGCUGGGCGUGGUGGCGGGUGCCUGUAAUUCCAGCUAAUUGGGAGGCUGAGACAGGAGAAUCGUUUGAACCCAGGAGGCAGAGUUUGCAGUGAGCCGAGAUUGCACCACUGCACUCUAGCCUGGGCGACAAGAGAGAAACUCUGUCUCAAAAAAAAAGGAAAAAAAAAUUAGCCAGGCACAGUGGCGCAUGCCUGUAGUUCCAGCUACUCAGGAGGCUGAGGUGGGAGGACUGUUUGAGCCCAGGAGAUCGAGGCUGCAGUGACCUAUGAUUGUGCCAUGCACUCCAGCCUGGGGGACACAGCAAGACCUUGAGUCAAUCAAUCAAUCAGUAAGUAAAGUGAAUUGCUACUUACAGCCCAUAUUAGGGGAUAUAGGGUAGAAAUUAAACUUGACCUAUUGAAGGGAGGAGUAUUAAAAAGUGUAGAUUUUUUUGUUUGUUUGUUUUUUGAGACGGUGUCUGGCUCUGUCGCCCAGGCCGGGGUACAGUGUUACUCAUCUCGGCUCACUGCAACCUCUGCCUCCUGGGAUCAAGCCAUUUUCCCGCCUCAGCCUCAUGAGUAGCUGGGAUUACAGGCACCCACCACCAUGCCCGGCUAGUUUUUUUUUGUAUUUUUAAUAGAGACGGGGUUUCACCAUGUUGUCCAGGCUGGUCUUGAACUCCUGAUCUCAUGAUCCACCUGCUUUGGCCUCCCAAAAUGCUGGGAUUACAGGCGUGAGCCACCAUGCCCGGCCAAAAUGUAGAUAUAUUUUAUUUUUAUUUAAAAAAAAUUCUUUUUUUUUUGAGACGGAGGGAGUCUUGCUCUGUCGCCCAGGUUGGAGUGCACUGGCGCGAUCUCGGCUCACUGCAAGCUUCGCCUCCUGGGUUCAUGCCAUUCACCUGCCUCAGCCUCCCGAGUAGCUGGGACUACAGAUGCCCACCACCAUGCCCGGCUAAAUUUUUGUAUUUUUAGUAGAGACGGGUUUCACCGUGUUAGCCAGGAUGGUCUCGUUCUCCUGACCUCGUGAUCCGCCCGCCUCGGCCUCCCAAAGUGCUGGGAUUACAGGUGUGAGCCAACUUGCCCGGCCAGGAAUCCCUCCUCUGUCUGACCUAACUGCCCUCUGCCCUGGAGCUGCUCAGCCUCUAUCAAUUUUUCUGGCUCUCAGCGAACGUUUUCAUUCAGUUGCAAGACACAGAAACUCAAAUUCAAACCUGCUUACACAAAAUAGUGAAUGUACUGGCUCAUGCACUUUUUAAAGAGAUGAGGUCUGUUGUGCUGCCCAGGCUGGAUGUGAACUCCUGGGCCUAAGAAAUUCUCCUGCCUUAGUCUCCUGAGUAGCUGGGACUACAGGAGCAUGACUGUAAGUCCUGGUGUGAAUCAGGCUCCAGAAACAGCUUGAUCCUGGUUCCCAACAGUAUGGUCAAAACUCAUUCUCUCUUCUGUCUUCUUCUCUAUGACAGGUGCUCCCUAAGAAGUGACAAAGAAGGCCACUAACAGCUCUGGGCUCGAGACAUUCCCACUUGGCAACUUCUCAACUGUUCUGGCAAAAGCCAGGAGAGUGGAGGUCUUCCCCACCCGGACUACAUAAGCUGAGGGUGGGGUUUUUCAAAGAAAAGCUUAUUAUAGGAAGAAGGGUAAACAGACACUAGGAAGCUUCUGAUUAUUAUACCUAGUGAUUCUGUGAGCCUUUACUGCACAAACUGUUCCCAAACUUAAUUAUUUAAAACAAUGUAUUAUUUCUCACAAUUCUGUGAUUAGCUGGGCUCAGGUGGCAGUUCUGCUUAUGCUGUGGAUUGGCUAUGCUAGAGGGUCUGGGAUGUCCUCCCUCACAUGUAUGGAGCUGGCUGUUGGCUUCUCUCUCUACCUGGUCUGUGGUCGCCACAUGGUCUAGCCCAAACUUCCUUUCACAGGGUCAGGAACGGAAGCUGCAUGAGCACUUAAGUCCUAACCUUGGAAGUCGUACAGUCAUGUUACUGAAUUCUCUGAUCAAAGCAACUCACAAGACUAGUUCAGAUUCAAGAGACUGGGAAAUGGACCCCCCCCCUCCCCCGCCCGCCCGAUCUUGAUGGGAGCAAUGAUAAAGUCACAUUGCAAAAGGACACAGGCACAGGGAGGCAAUGAUUCAUGGGAGGCCAUUAUUGAAACAAUCAACUGUGUUCCACAACUCGCCUCUUCUAGUUCCUUUCACUAAGCCUCCUCCCACCCCAGCAACCUGGCUCCUUUGACCUUCAUGACCACUAGAGGAUCAUCUCCCUCAAUAAGUCUUUCCGGCCAGGUGCGGUGGCUCACGUCUGCAAUCCCAGCACUCUGGUAGGCCGAGGUGGGAGGAUCGUUUGAGCUCAGGAGUUCAAGACCAGCCUGGGCAACACAGUGGGACCUUGUGUCUACAAAAAAUAAGAUAAUUAGCUGGGUGUGGUGGUGUGCGCCUGUAGUCCCAGCUACUCGGGAGGCUGAGGUGGGAGGAUCACUUGAGUCAGUGAGGUCGAGGCUGCAAUGAGCUGUGUUUGCACCACUGCAUUCCAGCCUGUGUGACAGAGUGAGACGCUGUUUCAAAAAACAAACAAAAUAAAUGUCUUUCCUGUGAAAUCCCAGCAAUGGUCCCUACCAGACCAUACCCAUUUUUAUUCAUUUAUUCAUUAAUGUAUUCAAUCACCAAGCAGUUAUUAAAACAUAAGCACAGUCCUAUGCUAGGGACCAGGGAUGCAGUAUCAUAAGACCCAAUUCCUGCCCUCAAGCAGUUUCUAGUCUAAAAGAAGAGACAGGGAAUUAGAUCAUCGUAACACAGCAUAUUAAGGGCUAUGCUAGAGGGGAACACAGGGCAUCUGGGAACACAAAGGGCAGCCAACUUGGCCUUGGGGGCCAGUGAUCUCUGGAUGAGUGGAGGUCCCCAGGUUGACAAGGGGAGCUGGAGCAAGUAUUAGGCAGAAAUCUUGGUUGCAAGUUAUAGAAACUCAACUGACUUAAAGAAAAGUCAUAACUAAAAAGUCCUGGGGGAUAUUAGCUUCAGGCAUAGCUGGAUCCAGGUAGUCAUCAGAAAUGAGUCUCUCCUUAUCUGGAGUACAGUGGUGUGAUCUCGGCUCACUGCAACCUCCGCCUCACGGGUUCAAGCAAUACUCCUGCCUCAGCCUCCUGAGUAGCUGGGACUACAGACGUGCGCCACCACGCCUGACUAAUUUUUGUAUUUUUAGUAGAGACAGGGUUUCAUCAUGUUGGCCAGCUGGCCUUGAACUCCUGACUUCAAGUAAUCUGCCUGCUUUGGCCUCCCAAAGUACUGGGGUUACAGGUGUGAGCCACCGAGCCCGGCCUCCUCUGUGUUGGCUUAGUUCUGAAGCAGGCUGUCCUUACAUGCUGGACACUAACAGCUGAAGACUAUGACUGUGAUUACUCAGUCGGGUCACAGGCUCACUCCUGGAAUCAGAGAGCAGGGCCAGUCCCUCGGAACCACAGGAUCUGAGAAUGGAGCAGGUUUGUCACCCAAAGGAGAAAAGGAAAAGAAGGGCUGUGGAGCUGGCCUGACAUCAGGUGUACUUCUAGACAGGUGACUAAGUUACAGCCCUCAAACAGAGAGGGCCUCCUGAGGGAAAUGUCCUGAGGGAAGGGGAAAUCGGCCUUGGGAAUGAGCAGAAGUGCUAAGAUCAAAUCUCUCUCCAAGGCUACUUCUUGGUUGUGUAAGCUCUGCAAGACUUUGUCCCUGACUUUCUCCUGUGAAAUCAAGUCUUUGCCAGUUGUCCUGAGGGUUAACUGAAAUAGCAUAUACAGGGGCUCGUGAAGUCACCCUGUUCUCUUCCCAUUAAAUCAAACAGUAAAGUCCCAGGGCUGGUCUACCUUGCUAGAAAAAAGAAGCUGACUCCACCUAGUGGCUAAUGGGGUCAUUGCACUGAAGAGUUGAACAUUUACAGAACUGCGUUCUGAUAUUCCUAGACAGAUGAAGCAGCAUAUAUGAACAGUAAGCUUGGGAGAGACAGGCCGGGGACGGGUCUGCCCUGUCUCUGUAACAGGGCUUUGCACAGGGCAGAGAGGUGAGGUUAGGUGGAUGUCUAGAUCUGUGUCUGCACUGGUGGGUUGUUAUAUUCAAACAGCUGCUUUGCAUCUAGCUCUGGGCUAAGAGUAUGCUUCCACUUCCUCUUGGUUCCAUUUCAUGCAUGAUUCCAUUUCUUCCCCUCAGGUGUGACACCUCAGUAGUGUCACUGGCCAAAGAGCCUUGGGCCUGGGAUAAGCAGGGGCUCCCCAGUAGUGGAGGGUGACUUUUCGCUGGGCCCCAGUAAAGAAUCACUUCUAGCCACUAUGCUACUUUUCCCCCCGCCUCAGUCAGACCGGAUUACUGAAUCUUAUUACAUGGGGCUAUGCCAGAUGCCAUCUGCUUGUGGCCUUACCCCCGCUCCAGGGGGACUCAGGGCUUACUUCAGGUCAACAAUAGAAAGAGCAGCAGCUAUCAUUUAUAUAGCAUUUAUCAUGUGUAAGGCACUAUUAUUUCAUAUCCACCUAUUCUUUUAAUUCUCAUGAUCACCCUGUGAGGUAGGUACUAAUGUUCCACCCCGAGGCAGCUUUGCGAUGGCAGAGCUGGGAUCUGAACCUUAGCUGCUUGCUUCCCAGAACCUGAGUUUUCGCCACUACGCUAGACUGCCUCUCCAGAGCUGAUGCCUCUCUGAGACCCUCCCUAGGCACUGGAGCCAUGAGCAGGGGCUCCCUCAUAUGCUUGCCUGCUGUAUUGUGGGUCCUGGGUAUUGAUUUCUGAGGCCAUUCGAGGCUACAAAAUUCAAACCUGUCUUGAGCAUGCUAAAAGUAAGAAGGGCCCUGAUUUCAAGUCAGGAACUAUGGAUUCAAAUUCCUGGGUACCACCAGAAUGGCCAAUAUUAAAAAAACUGACAACACCAAGUGCUAACCAAGACGUGGAGCUGCUGGAGCUCCCACACACUGCUGGUGAGGAUGUAAGUCAAUAGAGCCACUUUGGAAAACUGUUUGGCAGUGUCUAGACAAGCUAAACAUAUGCCUACUCUAUGAUUCCACGCCUGAGUAGAUGAGUGAACAUGUGUACCAAGCAGCAUGUAAAAAAUCCUUCACAGCAGUUUUAUUUAUGAUACCCCCAAACUAGAAACAACCCAGUUGUCCCUCAACAGGAUGGCUGGGCCAGGCUUGGUGGCUCACGCUUGUAAUCCCAGCACUUUGGGAGGCUAAGGUGGGUGGAUCGCUUGAGCCCAGGAGUUUGAGACCAGCCUGGGCAACAGGGUGAGACGCCAUCCCUACAAAAAAUACGAAAAACUAGCUGGCAUGGUGGCAUGUGCCUGUAGUCCCAGCUACUUGGGAGGCUGAGGCGGGAGGAUCACUUGAGCCCAGGAGUUCGAGACCAGCCUGGGCAACAGAGACUCCAUCUCUACAAAAAAUAGAAAAAAUUAGCUGGUGUGGUGGCAUGUGCCUGUAGUCUCAGCUACUUGGGAGGCUGAGGUGGGAGGAUCACUUGAGCCCAGGAGGUCGAGGCUGCAGUGAGUCUUGAUGGCACCACUGCAUUCCAGCCUGGGGGCCAGAGUGAGAACAUCUCAAAAACAAAAACAAAAAAGUAGGAUGGCUAAAUUGUGCUAUAUUCAAAUAAAGGACCACUACACAGCACGAAAAAACUCAACUUGUUUUUUUUUUUUUGAGACAGAGUCUUACUACGUCACCUAGGCUGGAGUGCAGUGGCGCGAUCUCAGCUCACUUGCAACCUCCGCCUCCCAGGUUCAAGCGAUUCUCCUGCCUCAGCGAGCAGCUGAGAUUACAGGCAUCCACCACCACGACCAGCUAAUUUUUGUAUUUUUAGUAGAGACAGGGUUUCACCAUGUUGGCUAGGCUGGUCUGGAACUCCUGACCUCAAGUGAUGCGCCCGCCUCGGCCUCCCAAAGAGCUGGGAUUACAGGCAUGAGCCACUGCGCCUGGCUGAAAAAAAAAAACUGAACUUCUGAGACAUACAGUAACAUGGGUGAAUUCCACAAACUAAUAUUGUGCAAAAUGUAUGAUUCCAUUUUUAUAAAACUCAAGAGCAAGCAAAACUAAUCUAUAAUGAUCGAGGUCAAAAUAGUGGUUGCUUCUGGGGGAUACUGACUAGGAGGGGAAAUGAGGGAAUGUUUUAGGGACCUGGCAAUGUUCUGUAUCUUGAUCUGGAGGGUGACUGCCCCAAUGUAUACAUGUAAGUGAGGAUUCAUCAAACUGAAGUCUAAAAUUGGUGCACAUUACUGAAUGUAUGGUGUACCUCAAAAAGUUAGAGAAAAAAAGGAAACAGUUAAACAAUUUCUGGGUAUAGUGCACAGUUGUUUUUGUCCCCCUCCCCCUGCAUCCAUUCCCCCUUAAUCUGGAAAGAGCCCUACAACCUUCUUCUUUUGGGGUUGUAUCACUCCCUCUCUCAAUGUUUUAGGUGGAGCUGACUCAGCUUUAGGCACAUGACCCAGGCCCCAAAUCAGAGUGCCUUUUCCCCUAGCCACAAUGAUUAAUUCAGGGAUGAGAACAGGACUAAACCAGUUGAGGCAAUCCCAGAUAUUUUGUUGGAACUAGUGGAGAAAGGUGUUCUUUCCACUGUUGUUACUAACGUAUCAGGAUAGAAGCCUGGGGCUGCCAGUGGCCACCUUGGCACCUCUUGGAGAGAGCUUGCCUGAGAAAGGGCACACAGAGGAAAGCAGAGGGAUAGACAAUUCUUCCUGAUGAGACCAUCUCCGAGUCUGGGUCCAGCUAUCAUUGUAUGUGGAUUUUUCAUUAAGUGAAUCAAUACAUUUACCUUUUUAGCUAAUCGCUUUGAUUUGGGUUUCUAACACUUUAAUAAUUAGAGUCUACUACACUGGGAUCAUGGGAAUGGACAAAAUUAUGAGAAAAAUGGAGGGACUUGGAAUAUAAACAUUGAGCCUUGUCUCAUCUGUUUUGUGGGUGCUGCCCCUGCCCUGAGUGGCUGCUCACCCUGUGAGACCAUGGCACUGACAGGAGAUGGGUGAGGCAGGCUGCAGGGGCCAUGUGGGAGGUACUCUGGUCCUCACUCAUAAAGGGUUCCAGAGGAAGUCUAGAGAACUGGAUUCUACUCUCCAUUUUGUCAUUUCUUAGAGGCAAGACCUUGGGCAAAUCAUGAUACCUUUUUCAGCCUUGUUCCUUCUCUCCAUGGUUUUUAUUUAUUUUAUUUUUUAUUUUUUGUAGAGAUGGGAUUUCACCACGUUGGCCAGGAUGGUCUUAAACUCCCGGCCGCAAGUGAUACACCCGCCUUGGCCUCCCAAAGUGCUGGGAUUACAGAUGUGAGCCACCCUGCCUGGCCUCCUUCUCUAUAUGGAAUAUUAACUCUUAGCUCAAAGGUUGUUAUGCAGAUGAAAUGCUAGCUUUCCAACCUCUCCAGCUUUUUCAUGCCCUUGGCUGAGUCAGCUCCUGCAUCCUGGGCAUUCUUAUCAUUGUCAUCAUGAUCUUUGACUGUGUGUGAACCCCUAAGGGCAAGAAAGUGUUCAUCUCUAGGUCCCUUUACCAACAGGGCUGGCCACACAGCUGGUAGGGACUACAAAGUGGUCUUGCAGGCCGGAGGCUCACGGUAUGAUAGCCCACUCACCCCCUGCCCUUCAUUUCCUUGCUUGGUAGAUGGGGCUGAAUCUGACAUACUAGGUGGCUUAGAAGGACUCUGGGGAAUUGCUGAGGCAGUCUGAUCAUGGGAAGCUGAGAACCUCCCUUGGGGCUGUGUAGAGCCUUUCACAGCUGACCAGGAGCAGGGGCUGAGUGGCACUGAAUGGGAGCUGAGGCUGCCUGGGCCCCUUCCUCAAAUCUGGCUGUCUACAGUAAAGGAUGGACAAAGAGCUCUUGAGGCCAUAACAUUCCUUUCUUUUUUUAAAUUUUAAAAAUUAUUAUUUUUAGAGACAGGGUCUUGCUCUGUUGUCCAGGCUGGAGUACAGUGGCAUAAUCAUAGCUCACUGCUGCCUUGAACUCAUGGUUAAAGCGAUCCUCCUGCCUCACCCUUCCAGGUAGCCAGGACUACAGGAAUGCACCACCACACCUGGCUACCUUCUUUUAAAAUUUAUUAUUUAUUUAUUUUGAGACAGGAGUCUCACUCUGUCACCUAGGCUGGAGUGCAGUGGCACGAUCUUGGCUCAAUGCGACCCUCCGCCUCCCGGGUUCAAGCAAUUCUCUUGCCUCAGCCUCCCAAGUAGCUGGGACUACAGAUGUGUGCCACCAGGCGCAGCUGAUUUUCGUAUUUUUUAUAGGGACGGGGUUUUGCCAUCAUGUUGGCCAGGCUGGUCUCGAACUUCUGACCUCAGGUUAUCCACCUGCCUUGGCCUCUCAAAGUGCUUGGAUUACAGGCGUGAGCCACGGCGCCCAGCCUUCAAAUUUAUUUUUAUAAUUUUUUUUUUUUUUUAGAUAGAGUCUUGUUAUGUUGCCCUGGCUGGAGUGCAGUGGUUAUUCACAGGCAUGAUCACAGCAUACUUCAGGCUGGAACUCCUGGGCUUGAAUGGUCUUUCUGCCUUAGCCUCCUGAGCAGCUGGGACUAUAGGUGCAUGACGCCGCACCUGGCCAUAACACUCCUUCUCAGCUCAUUUUUGAGUCAUGAAAAAUGCUCUUUCAAGAAUCACCAGGCCUAUGAUAAGUCCCAUGGAACAAACCUAUCACUGUGUAAGAGCUGAGCAGGAGAAAACCAUCUCUCCUCAUACACCUCAUUUGUUCAUUCAAUAAAAAUUCAUGACACACCACUAUGGACAUCAGGAAGUAGAGAUGAAUAAGGCUGGGUCUCUGCCCUAAGUGAUUAGCCUGGAAAGCCAUACUGGACACAGUGUCCAUACUGGCCUCCUUGUCUCCUUUCCUGCCCCUCCCUGCACUCCUUUACAUAACAGCCAGAACAGUUCUCUCAAACAUAAAGCAGAUCCCCAGCUUAAACCCUUUAAAGACCUUCAUGAGGCCCUAUGUGACAGGAGAAGCAGGAGAAGGUGGUGGAUGAGAAGAUGAGGCUGUACUGAGUUCAGGGCACCUGAACUCAAGGGAGACUUUCACAGGGUGCUCGACUCUGUCCCAACUCCUAAAGUGACUACUGGGGACUACUGAGGUCUGAAUGGGGUGGGGGUGAGGGGUCAAGACAGACAUACUAGAUCCAAUGGCAAUAUGGCUCAAAACCCUAGGUCUGUUAAGUUGUAGUCUGGCCCAUGAGGGAAAUUCUUUAUUUGGAUGCUUCAGUGACCAAGAGACAGAGCAUUAG
rnacentral:lncRNA from 10 species